rnacentral:rRNA from 1 species
AACGAACGCUGGCGGCAUGCCUAACACAUGCAAGUCGAACGAGACCUUCGGGUCUGGUGGCGCACGGGUGCGUAACGCGUGGGAACCUGCCCUUAGGUUCGGAAUAACUCCCCGAAAGGGGUGCUAAUACCGGAUAAUGUCUUCGGACCAAAGAUUGAUCGCCUUUGGAUGGGCCCGCGUUGGAUUAGCUAGUUGGUAGGGUAAAAGCCUACCAAGGCGCGGAUCCAUAGCUGGUCUGAGAGGAUGAUCAGCCACACUGGGACUGAGACACGGCCCAGACUCCUACGGGAGGCAGCAGUGGGGAAUAUUGGAAAAUGGGCGAAAGCCUGAUCCAGCACUGCCGGGUGAGUGAUGAAGGCCUUAGGGUAGUAAAGCUCUUUUACCCGGGAUGAUAAUGACAGUACCGGGAGAAUAAGCUCCGGCUAACUACGUG